UUUUCUAUUGAAAGUAAGUCAGGCAUAGGAAGAAUUUGAUGCUAUUGGUGUCUUGUUAAUGUUGAAUGAUGACCAAAUAAUCCAACUCUGAAUCCCGCUUAAGCUGGGAGUGAAUGUAGAGGAUGAGUGCUGAAACAUGUGAACAGAUGUUUUGCUGUAUUCCUACCUUGCUCCUCUCAUUUUGUGGAUGAAUAUUUCAGGUUGGACAAUGUUCGUGUAGAUCCAAGAUUUGUAUUUCAUCCAUCAGGAGACCCGUCAGGGGCAGUUUGUCAGCCAGGUUCUCUGCAAACUUUUCUGCUGCUGCUUCUGGCAGGGGAGUCACUGGGUCUUUGAAGUUCACAUUGACUGUGUGAUACAUUAUGUCCCCUUUGUAGCCCUUCAGGGACACAGGGCUGGUCACCACAUUACCCAGAGACUGUUUCCGAGUCUGGUGAAGGCAGCUGGAGGGAACUUACAGCAUUGGUACCUCAUAUCCAGCAUCAUGUACUUCAUAGUUGGGUCCUGUACAGUAUGGAGCUCUUCCCAGCACCUUGUACUCGUAUGACAAGAGGGGAAGUUUGUCAGCCAGGUUCUCCUCCAGUAUCGUACUUCAUAGUUGGGUACUGUACAGUAUGGAGGUCUUCCCAGUGCCAUACAAUUGUAUGACAGAGGGUAGUUUGUCAGCCAGGUUCUCUGUGCAAACCAGCAUUUCAGUGGCCAGUUACUUGCUUCAGUGUUUGGAACAGUACAGCUGUAAGUGGAGUGAUCUGCAGUGUAAAGCUACAUUCACUCACAGAGGCAGCACAUUCACCAAGUUCCUGGCAAGCCAAUACUUCAGAGUAGAGCAAUGCAGCUGUUGUUGUGACGUGUAGUGGCAAGUAAUUUGGAAUUGACUGGAUGGGAGCUAUUAGGGAAUGGAUAUUUUGUGGUGUGUGCAGAUAUUCCACGGGAGCACAAUGCAUGGGUACAGUUGAUCGAUGUACACACCUCAAUCAUGAAGACUUCUGUUCCAUUAAGGGCAAGUUUUAUGGUGGUGAUUGGGUGGUGCCUCCUGCUCCAAGAGGUUCCAGUUACAUGCAGAAUCCUGGGAAUCACUGCUGUGUAUUUGUUCUGGUUACUAUUUGGUGAUUUUACACAGCUUCAGAAACUCUGCGGGAAUUGAAAUAGUGAAGACUAGCCAAUAUUCUCUCACCUCAUAGGUAGACUGUUGUUUUGUCUUCAGUGUGUUUCAUGUAAGGCUCCAAAGUGCAUUACAUGCUAAUAUUCUGCAGUACUUUAAAAUAUCAAUCAUUAGUUUUUUUUUUUUUUUUUUUUUUUCCUCCUCUCUAUUUAAAUAAUUAUUUUGGGUUAAUAUACUGUGAUGGUAUAAAAUUGUGGGUUUUGACAUGUGUCCCUUGCACUGAAUAGCUUAUCUACUCCAGAUAUACAGAGAUAGUUGACAUAAAUGCUUCCUUGCUGUUUUAUGUUGAUAUAGAUACAGUAUACCCUCACCCAUUCUUGGUUCAUCGUUUGCGGCCCCGCUUUCUUGCGGAUUUUUUUAUUUUAUUUUAUUUUUUUUUUUUUUCUCAGCAAUUUUGUGAAUUUCUUAGGCCAUUUUUUAGCAGAAAAUCGCUCACAUUCACCCUAACUGGUAAAUAAUUUUAGAAUAACUUGUCAGUUAAUAUGAAAUAAAAAAUUUGAAAAGUGAUAUAGUUUAACUGGUAAAUAAUUUUGAAAUAAUGUCAGUUUCGAGCUUUCGUUUCUCCUUGCUGAUUGGCUGCAGACGACCUGAUGUCACAAGCAUCUCAAUGUGUGAGAUGCUAAACAGCUCUCUCUCUCUCUCUCUCUCUCUCUCUCUCUCUCUCUCUCUCUCUCUCUCUCUCUCUCUCUCUCUCUCUCUCUCUCUCUCUCAUGCGGGUUUUCAAUGUGAUUGUUUGAAUUCGAGUUUUUGGUGUGUUGUAUAAUUGCUACUGUACCCCUGUAUUAUUUACACCCUAUAAUGCUACAAAAAAAAAUAUAUAUUGGUGAGUACAAUUUUUUUGAAUUUACUAUGUACAUAUUUUACUACAUUAUUACUGUAUUAAUGAGUGAGUAAGACUGUCUUUAGAAUGUGUUUGGGAAGCAUAUUUUAGCGUAUAUAUUAUACAUAGGCAUUUUAAUACUGCAUCAAUAAUUCACGGAUUUUCAGGAUUCAUGGGAGGGGAAGGAACAUAAUUUCUGCAAAUAGUGGGGUAUACUGUACUGUAUUUGUAAUUAUUCUAAAAAUUUCUCUAUUUUUAUUGUGAUGUGUGGAUCUUGUUAAUUCUGACGCUGAUUUGAUGAGUUUAUCAUUAAAAGGGGUAAUUUUUC